rnacentral:rRNA from 1 species
AUUGAACGCUGGCGGCAGGCCUAACACAUGCAAGUCGAGCGGAUGACGGGAGCUUGCUCCUUGAUUCAGCGGCGGACGGGUGAGUAAUGUCUAGGAAUCUGCCUGGUAGUGGGGGACAACGUUUCGAAAGGAACGCUAAUACCGCAUACGUCCUACGGGAGAAAGCAGGGGACCUUCGGGCCUUGCGCUAUCAGAUGAGCCUAGGUCGGAUUAGCUAGUUGGUGGGGUAAUGGCUCACCAAGGCGACGAUCCGUAACUGGUCUGAGAGGAUGAUCAGUCACACUGGAACUGAGACACGGUCCAGACUCCUACGGGAGGCAGCAGUGGGGAAUAUUGGACAAUGGGCGAAAGCCUGAUCCAGCCAUGCCGCGUGUGUGAAGAAGGUCUUCGGAUUGUAAAGCACUUUAAGUUGGGAGGAAGGGCAGUAAGCUAAUACCUUGCUGUUUUGACGUUACCGAUAGAAUAAGCACCGGCUAACUCUGUGCCAGCCGCCGCCGUAA